GGGGCAACCCUGACCGAGCAACGCCGCGUGAGUGAAGAAGGUUUUCGGAUCGUAAAGCUCUGUUGUAAGUCAAGAACGAGUGUGAGAGUGGAAAGUUCACACUGUGACGGUAGCUUACCAGAAAGGGACGGCUAACUACGUGCCAGCAGCCGCGGUAAUACGUAGGUCCCGAGCGUUGUCCGGAUUUAUUGGGCGUAAAGCGAGCGCAGGCGGUUUGAUAAGUCUGAAGUUAGAGGCUGUGGCUCAACCAUAGUUCGCUUUGGAAACUGUCAAACUUGAGUGCAGAAGGGGAGAGUGGAAUUCCAUGUGUAGCGGUGAAAUGCGUAGAUAUAUGGAGGAACACCGGUGGCGAGAGCGGCUCUCUGGUCUGUAACUGACGCUGAGGCUCGAAAGCGUGGGGAGCGAACAGGAUUAGAUACCCUGGUAGUCCACGCCGUAAACGAUGAGUGCUAGGUGUUGGAUCCUUUCCGGGAUUCAGUGCCGCAGCUAACGCAUUAAGCACUCCGCCUGGGGAGUACGACCGCAAGGUUGAAACUCAAAGGAAUUGACGGGGGCCCGCACAAGCGGUGGAGCAUGUGGUUUAAUUCGAAGCAACGCGAAGAACC
rnacentral:rRNA from 1 species